GCCGCCAUCGUCUAGUGGCCCAGGAUACCUGGUUCUCAUCCAGGAGAUCGGGAGUUCAAAUCUCCCUGGCGGCA
rfam:Candidatus Roizmanbacteria bacterium RIFCSPHIGHO2_12_FTLL_33_9 rifcsphigho2_12_scaffold_1320, whole genome shotgun sequence.